GGCCUCUCUGGGAGCAAGAGAAGAGCUGAGACCUGGAAGAAUGAAAAGCCAGCCUUCAGCUUGCUUCUGAGAGAUGGGCUGCAUUAGAGAAGGGUGCAGUUUUGAAGACUGCCUUUCUCUGUGUCCAUACCUACAGAUGGGUGGGGAGGGCUGUGGAGGCAGCCUAGCAGUGCUGGGGAAGAGCAAAGAGCGCAGUCCCAGGAGGCCAGCCGGGGACGGGAAGGAGGGGAGGGAGAGAAGCUGGAGCCAUAGAUAUCAGAGAUGGAAAAGACUUGCCAGGUCAUCGAGUGGGUCCCCUGGGGCCCGUGGAGGAGACACAGCUACAGGAGAAACCCCGCCUGCUCGUUUCAUGCUCCGGCUGAGAGCUCGAGCUGGAGAUGGGAGCUAGUUGAAAUUAGAUGGGAAUUUAUUUAAGGCUUUUAAACAUUGCUGCACUCAGAGGGCCUUAAGAGAACCACAGAUAGUUCCCUCACAGCCUGCCCUGAAGCCACAGCAGUGACACAUCUGGCCCCUGGGCUGCCUCAGUGAGCUUUGGAGGAUGGGGGGAAAGAGGCUGCCUCCACCCCCCUCUUGCUCUGUAGCCCUCUCAGCCCGGAAUGCCGCUGGCUGGAGUGUCCUGGAGCUGGCAGUGGGCCACGCCUAACCAUGUCCCCUGCCUGGUACGUACAGAUGUGGAGGACAGCUACCCUGUAUCAUCUCAGCCAUCCUGUUUUCCAGGGGAGGACUGAGUGCUAAUGGUGGAGGGUCAGAGGAGGGCAAGGGCUGCUCUCUGGAUUCCCCAGCUGAGUCUAUCCCAGUGGGCUGGGGCCUUAACAGCCUCUUUCUGGCUUGGGGCCAUGAUGCAGAUGCCUUUACAAUGUUCACUUUUUCUAGAUAUUGUUGACUCACAAAUUUCCCUAAGCUUCACCCAGGGUGUUCAGAAACCACUUUGCAAAACAUAUGAGAAGGCAAUGAGAAAAUAGUACAAAGACAAUCGUGUGCACAGCUAUGAGCAUAGACUCUGGAGCCCAGGCUGUCUGGGUUCAAAUCCCAGGUCCACCCCUUAGAAGUUGUGUGACCUUGAGUCAGUUACUUAACCUCUCUAUGCUUCAGCUUCUGAAUCUAUAAGGUGUGGUUACCAAUAAUACCCAUCCGAUAAGGCAGUUGUGAAGAUAAAAUGUAUGAAGGUAAUCAAGUGCUCAGAUAGGUGCCCGGCAUAUAGGGAAGGAGUGAAAAAUGUUAGCGAUGAUUUUCAUCUGUGUUUCUAAUAAUCAGUUCCUCGAGGUGGUCCUGAUGGAAGCUGGAGAACCACUGUUAUACUGACUGUCAAUGAUGACGAUAAAGUUCCUGUCGUCAGCCUACUGAAGGAAGGGUCUUGGAAAGCAUUCAGGUCAUCAGCUGCUAUGCUAUGAACAUGCUCAGGCAACUCACAGAGAGGCCCUUGUCAUGGGAAACUGAGGCUGCCAGAAAGAAACCACCCAAGUGAGUUUGGCAGCAGAUUCUUCAGUCUCAGUCAAGCGUUGAGAUGACUGCAGCCUUGACAGACAGCACAACUGCAGCCUCGAGAGAAAGCCUGAGCCAGAGGCACCCAGCUAAGCUGUGCCCAGAUUUCUUAACUACAGAACUGGUGAUUAAUAAAUGUUUGCUGUUUUAAACCAC
rnacentral:lncRNA from 1 species